UGAGCACCGGCACCUCGGAGACUCGGGUGAACGCCAGGUCCCGGCGCCCCGGCCCCUCGGCACGCCCAGACCCUGUUCGGGUCCUCGCGUCCCGCUCUCGGCGCCGGAAAGAGCGUCUCUCGGUCACGGAGAGCAACUGCGGGAGCGCCGAGCGGAGGACGACGAUCAGAUGGGAUGCCGGCCUUUGAGGGGCUCACAAUCUGGGGAGAAAGCACCUUUUAAAAAGGCCGGAAGCACAGAGGGCUUUCUUGUGAAACAAGUCUUCCAGAGGACCCAGUGGGAAGAAUGCUUGUGAAACAGGUUGACAUGGACGGUGAUACUUAAUACCUGCCACAUAUGUAAGGCUUCCCUCCACAUUUCGGUACUUUGUUUCCUUUUUACAACCAGGACAGCUAUUAAGAUCCCCUUAUUAUAAUGAAGAACCUAAGGCUUAGAGAUGUGAAAUGCCCUGACCAAAAUAUCUGUCCCCAAAGUCAGACUCUUCACCACAGGAUAUAAGGCCUCAUCCUUAUUCUAUUAAUCUACGAGGUCAACAGAUGAAGGAUACUUUGUGAAUACAAAGGGGUUAUGAUAACUAUUGCAUCAUUAAUCCAAAAUGGGAAAAUAUUUGAGCAGAAAAACAAAUUUGAUAACAGGGUCCAGAUUGAUUGAUUUGUGUGGGAUCAGAGUGUACACUCAUUCAACAGGUGUUUUAUUCAUGGACUAUAUAGCAUUGAGGAUAAAAAAAGAAGAAAAAGAAGUCUGUCAUUAAGUUGACGGCUUGUGUUCUUUUUUACUUUUUUUUCUUUUUUUUUUUGGCAGGCGCCGAGUGGCAUGUGGGAUCUUGGUUCCCCUUCCCUGACCAGGGAUUGAACCCAUGCCCCUGGAAGUGGGAGCGUGGAGUCCUAACCACGGGACCACCAGGGAAGUCCCUCGUGUUCUUUUAUAAUCUUUUGUUUUGAAGAAUUCUAACCUUCAGGACGAUUGUGAACCCUGGGGAACAUGGACUUCGUCAUGAUUUUGGGUGGAGAUAGAGCAAAAGUAAGGCUGAAAGGGAUGGCCCCCACCUCUGCUAUCAGAAGGGUCAGCACUGUAUUCCUUUCAUAGGUGAAGAAACUCGAAGGGGAAACGAUGAGUAAUGAGUCAAGUUUACUCACCCAUUAGAUAGUGGAGUUAGCACCCCUGUCCUAGGCUUCUGACUGAAAUUCCAGGCUCAUUCCAAUCACCCUUGAACCAAAUAUCCUUUUUCUGGAAAGUGUUGACCACUUUCAGGUUCUGACUAAAUCCUAGAAAGGCAUUGGUCCUAUGAUAUCUCCUGACUUUCAAAGGUUAAUCAAUACCCAGACUCUAAAAACAGCUUGGAAUGUCAUUGAUGCCACAGAAUUGUACACUUAACAAUGGUUAAAAUGGCAAGUUUUAUGUUAUAUAUAUGUUUACACAGUUUAAAAAAUUAAUGGGGCUUCCCUGGUGGUGCAGUGGUUAAGAAUCCGCCUGCCAAUGCAGGGGACACAGGUUUGAGCCCUGGUCCGGGAAGAUCCCACAUGCUGCGGAGCAACUAAGCCCGUGCACCGCAACUACUGAGCCUGUGCUCUAGAGCCCGCGAGCCACAAAUACUGAAGCCCAUGUGCCACAACUACUGAAGCGUGCGCGCCUACAGCCUGUGCUCUGCAACAAGAGAAGCGACUGCAAUGAGAAGUCCGCGCACCGCAACGAAGAGUAGCCCCUGCUCGCCACAACUAGAGAAAGCCCGCACACAGCAACGAAGACCCAACGCAGCCAAAAAUAAAUUACUUAAAUAAAUUUUAAAAAAUAAUAAUGGUGUAAUACAACAGAAACCAUUGAAUUGUACAGUUUCGACAGGUGUGGAUGGCAUGUGAAUUAUAUCUCGAUAAAGCUGUUUGGAAAAAUAAAGUAGGUUGAGCCUGUUAAGCUAAAGUCCUGGAGCACCCUCUUACACUGUUGGUGGGAAUGUAAACUGAUACAGCCACUAUGGAGAACAGUAUGGAGGUUCCUUAAAAAACUAAAAAUAGAACUACCAUACGACCCAGCAAUCCCACUACUGGACAUAUACCUGGAGAAAACCAUAAUUCAAAAAGACACAUACACGCACCCCAACGUUCACUGCAGCACUAUUUACAAUAGCCAGGACAUGAAGCAACCUAAAUGUCCAUCAACAGAGGAAUGGAUAAAGAAGAUGUGGUACAUCUGUACAAUGGAAUAUUAGCCAUAAAAAGGAAUGAAAUUGUGUCAUUUGCAGAGACGUGGAUGGACCUAGAGACUGUCAUACAGAGUGAAGUAAGUUGGAAAGAAAAAAACAAAUAUAGUAUAUUAACACAUACAUGUGGAAUCUAGAAAAAUGGCAUAGAUGAUCUUAUUUGCAAAGAAGAAAUAGAGACACAGACGUAGAGAACAAACGUAUGGAUACCAAGGGGGAACGGGGGGGCGGUGAAUUGGGAAGUUAGGAUUGACAUAUAUAUACUACUAUAUAUAAAAUAGAUAACUAAUGAGAACCUACUGUAUAGCACAGGGAACUCUACUCAGUGCUCUGUGGUGACCUAAAUGGGAAGGAAAUCCAAAAAAGAAGGGAUAUAUGUACACGUAUGGCUGAAUCACUUUGCUGUGUAGCAGAAACUGACACAGCAGUGUAAAGCAACUAUACUCCAAUUAAAAAAAAAAAGUCCUGGACCAGAAUUGUAAAUAUACCUCAGGCUGGAAAACUGGAGAGCAAGGAAAUCAGAAUUGUAAUCUGUCCCCCACAUACUCACACAGGUCACUGGAACUAGGCUACUCUUCUCAAGAUGGUGGGGGGUGGAGGAAUACCUAAUGCUUAAGACUGUGCUUGGGAAAUACAUUCAUGAACUCCCUUCUCUGAAGGGGGAGUUUUUCACUUGGCCAGUUUUUUGUUGUUGUCCAUUUGUUUACACGUUAUUGUGGGAAAAGUUGAAUAUAUAGAAAAGCAAACCUAAAACUCGAACUUCAACAAUUAUCAAUCCAUGGCCAGGUUUGUUUCAUCUGUAUCCCCACCCAUUUCCCCCAUCCUGUAUUAAUUUGAAGCAAAUGCCAGGCAUCCUAUUAUUUCAUUGGUAAAUAUCUCAGUAUGACUCUAAAAGAUUAGAACUCUUUUAAAUACACACACACACAAUUACCACAAUUUAAAAAUUAAUAAUUCCUAUGUCCAUCACACAUGAAUGGGUAAACAAAAUGUGCAAUAUACUUACAAUGGAAUACUCUUCAGCCUUUUUUAAGAUAGCCUCCGUUUUUGUUAUAUCACUGGUUGUUUUUUAUUUUUUAGAUUUCACAUAUAAGUGAUGAUAUACAGUAGUUGUCUUUCUCCAUCUGAUUUAUUUCACUAAGCAUAAAACCCUCCAGGUCCAUCCAUGUUGUUCAAAUGGCAAAAUUUCAUUCCUUUUUAUGCUGAGUAGUAUUCCGUUGCAUAUAUAUAGCACAUCUUUAUCCAUUGGUCUGUUGAUGUACCCUUAGGUUGCUUCCAUAUAUUGGCAAUUGUAAAUAAUGCUGCUAUGAACAUCGGGGUGCAUGUAUCUUUUCGAAUUAGUGUUUUCAUUUUCUUUGGAUAUAUACCCAGAAGAGGAAUUGCCAGAUCGUAUGGUAGUUCUAGUUUUAAUUUUUUGAGGAACCUCCAUAAUGUUUUCCACAGUGGCUUCAUCAAUUUACGUUCCUGCCAACAGUGUGCAAGGGUUCCCUUUCUCUACAUCCUCACCAACAUUUGUUAUUUGUGGUCAUUUUGAUGAUAGCCAUUCUGACAGGUGUGAGGUGAUAUCACAUUACGAUUUUGAUUUGCAUUUCUCUGAUGAUUAGUGAUGUUGAGCAUCUUUUAUGUGCCUGUUGGCUAUCUGUAUGUCUUCUUUGGAAAAAUGUCUAUUCAGGUCUUUUGCCCAUUUUUUAAUCAAGUUGUUUGGGUUUUUUUGAUAUUAAGUUGUAUGAGCUCUUUUUGUAUUUUGGAUAUUAACCCCUUAUCGGUCAUAUCCUUUGCAAAUAUAUUCUCCUAUUCAGUA